rnacentral:rRNA from 1 species
AGCGAACGCUGGCGGCAGGCUUAACACAUGCAAGUCGGGCGGGCAUCUUCGGAUGUCAGCGGCAGACGGGUGCGUAACACGUGGGAACGUACCCUUCGGUUCGGAACAACUCUGGGAAACUGGAGCUAAUACCGGAUACGCCCUUAUGGGGAAAGGUUUACUGCCGAAGGAUCGGCCCGCGUCUGAUUAGCUAGUUGGUGGGGUAACGGCCUACCAAGGCGACGAUCAGUAGCUGGUCUGAGAGGAUGAUCAGCCACACUGGGACUGAGACACGGCCCAGACUCCUACGGGAGGCAGCAGUGGGGAAUAUUGGACAAUGGGCGCAAGCCUGAUCCAGCCAUGCCGCGUGAGUGAUGAAGGCCUUAGGGUUGUAAAGCUCUUUUGUCCGGGACGAUAAUGACGGUACCGGAAGAAUAAGCCCCGGCUAACUUCGUG